rnacentral:rRNA from 1 species
AUUGAACGCUGGCGGCAGGCCUAACACAUGCAAGUCGAACGAGUGGCGGACGGGUGAGUAAUGUCUGGGAAACUGCCCGAUGGAGGGGGAUAACUACUGGAAACGGUAGCUAAUACCGCAUACCAUCGGAUGUGCCCAGAUGGGAUUAGCUAGUAGGUGGGGUAACGGCUCACCGAGGCGACGAUCCCUAGCUGGUCUGAGAGGAUGACCAGCCAAACAUGAACUGAGCGACGGUCCAGACUGCUACGGGAGGAAGCAGUGGGGAAUAGUGCACAAUGGGCGCAAGCCUGAUGCAGCCAUGCCGCGUGUAUGAAGAAGGCCUUCGGGUUGUAAAGUACUUUCAGCGAGGAGUCGUUACUCGCAGAAGAAGCACCGGAUAACUCCGUGCCAGCAGCCGCGGUAAUUC